AGGGAAAGCGAGAGGGAGGUUGUACACAUGCAAGUCGAACGGCAGCGCGGACUUCGGUCUGGCGGCGAGUGGCGAACGGGUGAGUAAUGUAUCGGAACGUGCCCAGUAGCGGGGGAUAACUACGCGAAAGCGUAGCUAAUACCGCAUACGCCCUACGGGGGAAAGCCGGGGAUCGUAAGACCUUGCACUAUUGGAGCGGCCGAUAUCGGAUUAGCUAGUUGGUGAGGUAACGGCUCACCAAGGCGACGAUCCGUAGCUGGUUUGAGAGGACGACAGGCCACAUGGGGACGGAGACAAGGCAAAAACUCCCACGGGAGGCAGCAGUAGGGAAUCUGGGGCAAUGGACGAAAGUCUGAACGAGAAACGACGCGGGAGUGAAGAAGGGUUUCGGAUAGAAAAAAGCGGUGGGUAGAGAAGAACGUUGGUGAGAGUGGAAAGCUCAUAAAGUGAGGGUGACUACCCAGAAAGGGACGGCUAGCUACAUG
rnacentral:rRNA from 1 species